GAUGAACGCUAGCGGGAGGCCUAACACAUGCAAGCCGAGCGGUAUUGUUUCUUCGGAAAUGAGAGAGCGGCGUACGGGUGCGUAACACGUGUGCAACCUGCCUUUAUCUGGGGGAUAGCCUUUCGAAAGGAAGAUUAAUACUCCAUAAUAUAUUGAACGGCAUCGUUUAAUAUUGAAAGCUCCGGCGGAUAGAGAUGGGCACGCGCAAGAUUAGCUAGUUGGUGAGGUAACGGCUCACCAAGGCGAUGAUCUUUAGGGGGCCUGAGUGGGUGAUCCCCCACACUGGUACUGAGACACGGACCAGACUCCUACGGGAGGCAGCAGUGAGGAAUAUUGGUCAAUGGGUGCAAGCCUGAACCAGCCAUCCCGCGUGAAGGACGACUGCCCUAUGGGUUGUAAACUUCUUUUGUAUAGGGAUAAACCUACCCUCGAGAGGGUAGCUGAAGGUACUAUACGAAUAAGCACCGGCUAACUCCGUG
rnacentral:rRNA from 1 species